UACGGAGGGGGACUAGCGUUGUUCGGAAUUACUGGGCGUAAAGCGCACGUAGGCGGAUUUGUAAGUCAGGGGUGAAAUCCCGGGGCUCAACCUCGGAACUGCCUUUGAUACUGCAAAGCUCGAGUCCGGAAGAGGUGAGUGGAAUUCCUAGUGUAGAGGUGAAAGUUCGUAGAUAUUAGGAAGAACAUCAGUGGCGAAGGCGGCUCACUGGUCCGGUACUGACGCUGAGGUGCGAAAGCGUGGGGGAGCAAAACAGG
rnacentral:rRNA from 1 species